GAUGAACGCUGGCGGCGUGCUUAACACAUGCAAGUCGAGCGAGAAGUUUUGAAAAGAUUCUUCGGAUGAAAUUUAAAAUGGAAAGCGGCGGACGGGUGAGUAACGCGUAGGCAACCUGCCCCAUACAAAGGGAUAGCAUUUGGAAACGAAUAUUAAUACCUUAUGAAACUUAACUAGUGCAUGCUAGGUAGGUCAAAGAUUUAUCGGUAUGGGAUGGGCCUGCGUCUGAUUAGCUAGUUGGUGAGGUAACGGCUCACAAAGGCGACGAUCAGUAGCCGACGUGCGAGGGUGAGCUGCCACAUUGGAACUGAGACACGGUCCAAACUCCUACGGGAGGCAGCAGUGGGGAAUAUUGCACAAUGGGGGAAACCCUGAUGCAGCAACGCCGCGUGAACGAUGAAGGCCUUUGGGUCGUAAAGUUCUGUUCUAGGUGAUGAAAACUGACAGUAACCUAGGAGAAAGCCCCGGCUAACUCCGUG
rnacentral:rRNA from 1 species